rnacentral:rRNA from 1 species
ACCCGCACAAGCGGUGGAUGAUGUGGAUUAAUUCGAUGCAACGCGAAAACCUUACCUACCCUUGGCAUGUCCGGAAUCCCGAAGAGAUUUGGGAGUGCUCGCAAGAGAGCCGGAACACAGGUGCUGCAUGGCUGUCGUCAGCUCGUGUCGUGAGAUGUUGGGUUAAGUCCCGCAACGAGCGCAACCCUUGUCAUUAGUUGCCAUCAUUUGGUUGGGCACUCUAAUGAGACUGCCGGUGACAAACCGGAGGAAGGUGGGGAUGACGUCAAGUCCUCAUGGCCCUUAUGGGUAGGGCUUCACACGUCAUACAAUGGUCGGUACAGAGGGUUGCCAACCCGCGAGGGGGAGCUAAUCCCACAAAGCCGAUCGUAGUCCGGAUCGCAGUCUGCAACUCGACUGCGUGAAGUCGGAAUCGCUAGUAAUCGUGGAUCAGCAUGUCACGGUGAAUACGUUCCCGGGUCUU